rnacentral:rRNA from 1 species
AUUGAACGCUGGCGGCAGGCCUAACACAUGCAAGUCGAGCGAGCGGCGGACGGGUGAGUAAUGUCUGGGAAACUGCCUGAUGGAGGGGGAUAACUACUGGAAACGGUAGCUAAUACCGCAUACCAUCAGAUGUGCCCAAUUGGGAUUAGCUAGUAGGUUGGGAAACGGCCAACCUAGGCGACGAUCCCUAGCUGGUCUGAUAGGAGGACCAGCCAGACUGGAACUGAGAAACGGGCCAGAGUCCUACGGGAGGCAGCAGUGGGGAAUAUUGCAAAAGGUGCGCAAGCCUGAUGCAGCCAUGCCGCGUGUGUGAAGAAGGCCUUCGGGUUGGAAAGCACUUUCAGCGGGGAGGCGUUACCCGCAGAAGAAGCACCGGCUAACUCCGUGCCAGCAGCCGCGGUAAUAC